ensembl:lncRNA
GGGAGAAGUUGAACGGGUCUCACAGACCCGAUUACCAUACAAGGGUUAAAAGCAGUAAAUUAAAAGCAGAAAGACACAGGAAGUUGCCUGUUGUUUUACGAGAAGUUGCUCGUUAAGCGAGAAGUUGCUCGCUAAGUGAGAGUUGCUCACACAAACAAAAAAUUGCUAGCAAUAAAUUUAAAGUGACCUCAGCUGUGCCGCAGCGAAAAUACUAACCUAAAUCCUCCUAGCGUGUAAACCCCUCUGGAAAUCACUGAACAUGAGUCAGAAUAAUUCAAAGACCACAGACAGGUCCGAUAAAAAAUCUAAAGUACCUGUAAAACCAAAAAUUAAUAAAAUACAAAAUAAAGUCUCAAAUAACGGCUCAGUACAACUCCCAUUUCCGGUUACGUGUAACCUACGUCCGCGAAUCGGUGAAGACGUCCAUGAUCACGUAUCCAGAACAUGCGGGAGUGCUUAUGUGACUGACUUUGUUUACAACUUAAGAAGUUCAAUGCAUUCUAAUUUCUUUUCGGAGCCUUAUCCCGAACGAUUAUCGCCAGAAAACAGUUCCACCAGUGGAGACAAGGAGAUGCAUGUUGGAGAAGCCACUAAAACCAAGGACUCUCUGGGAGGCCGCGCGUGUUCCAGCCCCCAGACUGUACUGGCAGUGACGAAGAACCAGCAUCCUCACAGACGGACAACCUCAGUGGAUUCAUGCCAGCAGGGUUAAGACCAGCCCAAUCGGACCAUCUCAGGCGUCGGAUCAAGCAGAUGACAUCUCCGGCGAGCCAGCGCCCGGAACUAGAGCAAAUAAACACACGGGUAGAUGACAUCUCCGGCGAGCCAGCGCCAGGAUCCAAUUUACACACACACACAAUCACUGAUUAACACACAACGUCUGAAAGAACAACGACAAGGUACUCAAACAUCCAGCAGGAACAGAAAGCUAAAAGUACCACAUGAUGUCUAACCUGAUAAAGCCAGACUCAUUCCAUCCUGAUAAUGGAGAAAAUGAAAUGCCCAUUGUCAUCAUACGACGCUUAUUCUAUGUCUCUCGAACCUGGGACCAGGCCAGGAGACAACUGAAGAACUGUUUUUCUUAUAUAUUGUCUUAUAUAUUUAGGUUAUUAAUCAUAUCUAUCGCAUUAACCUUAGGAUUUUUAUUUACUAUUUCAUAUUGUAAAGUGCAACCCUGUUCACAUUUCUGCAAGCCACAUUUUCAAUGAUAACCCAUAUAGCUACCAGUACAGCCACUUCAAUGUAUUUGCAAUUAGCAAAAAUUGAUCCUGAGGAUGUGCCAGAUGUUACCAAUGAUGUUCCUGAUGUGUAUAUUGAACAUUAGGUUGUGAACUAUUACAUUUUAUGAUUUGCUUUUUAUAUUAUGUUAUUACAUUUGUGAUUUUUCCUUUCUAUUUGAGUUAUUAUUUUUUAAAAAAUAAUAAAAGAGGGGAACUGUUAUGAUAUUUUGAUACCACGGUAAGCAUUUACAGGAUAUUGUUUUAUACAGGAAAACUGUUACUCAAUAAGGCCGAUCUACUAGUUGUUUUUCUCUUUCUCUGUGACCCAAGAAUUAAUGUGAGACUCACAAGCUGGUACCUCAAGGUCGAAAACACCACAGAGAUGAGACCACUUCCUUACUCCCAUCCUCCCUUUUCUUUAUCUCCUGGAAAAGGCUCGUUAAAGGCUAGGUGGUUCGUUUCAGAAUUCACUGAUGAAAGAACUCUGUAUUCUAUGUCUAGGAGUGUAUUUUGCUGGGAUGAUCAUAAAUUGUAGCUGAACUGAUAAACUACACAAGGGAUACUUUGCUCAGAAGGCAGGAAGACGUUUCCUUAUUUGGUCUGUACCGGUUUGAACUGGGAAAGCUGACACACGAACCUUUUUUCAUCUAUAUAAACUGCUG